UCCAAGCUUGUAUGCAACAUAUACUUCUUGAGCUCUAGCUUUAAUCUUACAUAUAUGUCUAUCUCUGUGUGUAUUUAUGGAUAUAUACUCAUGUCAUGCAUCACAUCUGCCCAUCUAGGCAAGUUGUCAACACCCUCUGUUUUGCAGUGCACUCGCCCAGGAGCUUCAAGUCUAUGAAGGUCCCAAAGAAUCUUCUUGAGCUCUUCUGGAGAUUCCUGUUGAACCACAUUCCUACUUAAAAGAGAAGGCAAUUUACAAUAGUAUUGUUUGAAUCAGAAACAUAAAAAGACUAAAUCUUUCAUUGGCAGUCAUCAUUCAUUUGAACUGGGGAUGAAGCUAGCAGCUUAUCAGUAGAAGAACUGCUACUGAAUGGUUGACUGUUUAACGCAACACUAUCCACACUUCAAAGAGAUGAAGACAGAGAUGAAGUUUUACGUUUGUGAUGGCUUAACACAGCCCUGUCCUUUGACCUUGCCUUGAGCAUAGGCAGAAUCAUGCAGAAUAGUGCCUACAAGUAAAACAAAAAGCUACUUGGAAAGAAAUGAGAAGAUGGUGGUAUUUGGCACAUGGCAAGACAUGUGAAAAUGAAAUAAAAACAUAAUAGGAACCAAGAAAGAUCAACCAGCUGGAUGGCAGACCAGUAGCUGUUGUUUAGAAAUCAAAACAGGCUCAAACAAAACACCUAAGUCGUAAAUGUUUACCAUUGCCAACUUCAAAGCAUUCAAGCACAGAACGUAAGCCCAUGGGGAAAAAGCUGCAUUAAAGGGCAAGUCUGCAUCAAAGAAAGGAUUAGAAAAAAUUAAAUGCUUACAGUAAUGAUGCUGUGGUCUAAAGCCCUCAGUGAGUUCUCCAUACAGUAGAGGGAUUUAUGAGCUCCCUGGUGAACUUAGGCUCUUAUUUUAAAGCUUUGUAAACAUUUAGAUAAUUGUCACCAUCUGCCUGUAUGGUAGCUGCCUUUUGCAAUGUGAACACAGUGCUGAGGAAUUGUAUGACUUGAGGAAAGGGACAGUGAAUGAGGAGCACAACGGCAAAUUUUUUGACUUUCCUGAAGCUGGCUUCAGUCUUCUCUGCAGAUAAUGACGACAAAAUAUGAUGAUACAGUUAACACGACCUGGGACCUGUUUU